rnacentral:rRNA from 1 species
CCACAAUACACGAAAGUGUGAUGGGGUUACCCAAAGUGUUCAUUAUUGGACUGUGGUAGGUGAGUAAUGUCCCCUACUAGAAAGGAGAGGGCAAGGCUGGUGCCAGCCGCCGCGGUAAAACCAGCUCUUCAAGUGGUCGGGAUAAUUAUCGGGCUUAAAGUGUCCGUAGCCGGUUUAGUAAGUUCCUGGUAAAAUCGGGUAGCUUAACUAUCUAUAUGCUAGGAAUACUACUAUACUAGAGGGCGGGAGAGGUCUGAGGUACUAC